GCCUAGCUAGCUCGGUUGGUAGAGCGUGUGCCUUGUAAGCGCUAGCUCGCGGGCUCGAUUCCCGCCCGGGGCG
rnacentral:tRNA from 1 species